GCCGCGAUAGCUCAAUUGGCAGAGCACCGGUUUUGUAAACCGGCGGUUUCCAGUUCAACUCUGGAUCGCGGCU
rnacentral:tRNA from 1 species